AGAGGGCUAAUGAUAUUUACCCCUUCUUCGUCAAGGUUUUUUUAUCUACCCCUUGCUUCCUAUUUUGCCCCUACUAAAACAAAAAAUUACUUUACCUUUCCUUUUCUCAUUCUUAAAGCCAAUAAUUCCGGGUUCCUGCACCUCUGCUUUCCUUUCUUUCUUCUUACCUGAGAAAACCCACAAAUAAUCCCAUUAAAAAUCCUGCUCGACCUCUUUUUUCCUUUCCCCCAUGAAAAAUCAAAUUUACACCUUUUUGAUUUUUUCUAUGUGAAUUCUUAGCUAAUAUUGCUGUAUCGGUGGCCUUGAUAUGUAAUUGGUGCUUUGUAGGGUAAUUUGCAAGUUGCAAAUUUAUAUGCUGGUACCGACAGUGUAGAGCUCAAAGGCAUGAAAUAAUUGUUGAAUUGAAUUAUUUCUUAAGGCAUUGUAUCUGCAAGUUGCAAGUGUAUAUUCUUUUCUCAAAGAAGCCGUUCCUGGCGUUUUUAGAAUCCACCGGCUACUCUCAAGAAGAUGUGCUCCUUCAGAAGCCCAAAGUUGGGGUAUGUAUAGCUUCAAAUCAUUCUUAAUUAGAAUGCUUAAAUCACCCUUGAAUCAGGCUUUCUGAUCUAGAUUCAGAUGUGGGUUAAUAUCAGUUACUGAGUAGUUUAAUGCUUGCAGCUCCUGAAGCCUACUUUCACAAUUAUAUGUGAUAAAGAUUCAAAAUACUUCCUUUUAUUGAUUUGUGGAACCCAUAGCAUCAAAGAUACACUAACAACAGCUAAUGGUGUAGUGGUACCUUUCCUCUCUUUUAUUUUGCAUGAUGGUGGGAUAAGCAAUUUGGUUCUGGUUUUUGCAUAUUGUGGGAUGGUUGUUGCUGCUCGUUGGAUUGCUAAGCUCAACACUUCAUCCUUGCUUAAAGCUCUCAAUGCCUAUCCUGACUACAAAGUUAAGGCUUCUAGGAUCACUUAGUGUACAAAGGACACCAAAUAUUCUUGUACAAAAGAGAACAAAUAUCUGCUACAAAUUUGUGGGGUGCAUUUCAAGGCCAAGGAUAUGGAGAAUUUAAUGACAUUAGAUCCAUUACUAUUAUGGUCGAUUAUAUUGUUCCAACAGUUCUUCAACAACUUGGCAUGCUGAAAUACAGUUCAAAGCUUGCCAAAUUGAUUGUGGCUAAUAAUGAAAUAGAUUCAGGCAGUGACGAGGAAGUUAAGCUAUGGACUUGCUCCAUAUAUGCUGUGGAGAGGAUGAAGGAGUUGAUCAGUAAAAAAUCAGGGAAGCAGGUGCUUAGUGUGGAGUUAGACCUUUGGCUUUGGUCUUUUGGCAUUCAAUUUCCAUCUCUGCAACACCACUGAACACUUUCAACAUAUUACUGAGCUCACCAUAUCCGAUGGUGUCCUUCUUAAUUUAUGCUUCUAACUGUAAGAUUAUAGGAACUAGCAUAGUAAGUUUUGGGGUGAAGUCAUUAGAAAGAUGUGUCUAUAAAUUCCUCGCAUCUAUUGUUCUGUUUGCAUGGUUGUAGCUUUUCUUAAUUUUGAGAAGUACUACUAAUAUUAGCCUUGAGUUGAUGAACCAAAAACUUAUUGUUUUAAAAAUUGAACAUUUGAUAUGUUGCUAUUACCUAUUUUGAGAUAUCUGUCACUUGUAUUUUUCUAUUCGCUGUAAAAAAAUUAGUGGCUUUGUAAUGUCGCAGUAGGUGUCAUAGCUUUUCAUGUUAUUUUUAAUUUAUGUUUAACAACUCUAUAAGUACCUUGAACCUCUA